UAGAACAUGUGAAUAGUAAAGAGAUGUUAUCUUUUGCUUACAGAAAGCCACGUGAUUUCUGUACCUAAGACAUGCAGAAAAGCACCAUACACGCAUCAGGAUUGAGGACUAACAAAUUUGCAGUGUAACUUAAAAAGCCAUGAUGAAGUGUUACAAGACAUUCCUAAGCUGUGGAUGCAAGCCAGCCUCCUGUGUCCCAGAGUCCAGCAGUCACUUUCCAGACAUUUCUUCUGGCAUCAGUUCAGUUGGCCAUCUGAGGUGCUAAAAUUUCAACACCAAUGAAGCAAGUGUGCAUAAAAACAAACGGUAAAACACAACCAAACAGAAGAAAACAGGCUGGAACAGAGUUGGUUUUGUACAGGUAGGGUAUUCGCCUUUCUGUUAACGCUCCACACAUGCCAACCGUAAAAGCCUUGAACAAUCUGAAUAUCAGAGUUCACGUUCACACUAAAGGGCAGAUGCCAAAGCAACUCCCUUUGCCUGGAUUAGACUUCACACACACACGCAUGCACCCACAGAGUAUUUAAAUUACUGCAAUGCCAUCAGAACAUGGCAUCCUCCCCUUCUCACCUGCUUUCAGUGACAUCCUCAUCUGCCUGCUACCCUGCCCAGUACCUGCCAAGCAGUCCUUGAACAAUCCAAAAGCAGGAACUUCUGGAAAGCUUCUCAUCUCUGUUACGUUGCAAAGGUCAACAGCCAGCAAUCUCUUUCUCUGUGAACUAUAUACAGGCUGGUUUUUAGUAUGCUUUAGAGCUCUCUCCCUCGCAGACAGUGACAACUGAAAUUCCCAUCGCAGCUUUUCAGUUUGUAUACAGGAGAUUUUACAGUGCAACACCUCUCUCAAUCCACUGGUGUGUGGUGUAAACACUUAAUGGAAAACUCAUUUUAGAAGAAUGUUAACCAAACAAGGUGUAGCUGCUCACAAAAGGGAACUGCCGGCUGCUCUAGAUCAUGCUGUCUAGACCACUUAGAAUACUUCAUAACGUUCAGGAUUAGGAUGUAUAAAAAAUAUUAAAACCCACCAGAGUGCACACAAAUGUGGUGACUAGCUCUACGCAAGCACCGUGUUCUAACAGAGGCCUAGGCAUUGCACAAAACUCAGAUUCUUGACCGUGGGGGUAGCCCAAGGAUCCACUGGUGCCUUUACAUACAAACAAAUAUUUACAGAAAAUGCAGAGACGGAGAGAGAAGGACAGACUUUUAAAACUCGCGGUUUGCUCUAAAAUAUGUUCAGCAAUGCAGUUUAUAACAUGCCCUAGUGAGACCAGGGGGUAUUGGUUAACUGAAAGAAGGAACAUGUCUGAAAGUUGGAGCUGAAAUGUCUUGUCACCUCCCCACACAUUAGUUCUCUGAAGCUCAGAAUUUUACAGCCAGUUGUGACUUUUAAUGAGAAUACAGUUAAAAGGAACAGAACAGCUAAAAAACAAAAUAAAAAAGAAAUGGUACUGUGAAAACAGCGGGUUAGUUGUUCUGGCAGUCCUCACUCCCCCAUCUCCAUUUGCCUCCUGGGCCUUUCCUUCCAGGAGUUGGUGUUCCCCUCCCUUCCCCGUAGGGGGCUGACGCGCUUGCCCCAUCAUCAGUGUGCCCAUUUCAAAACGAACACGGCUCAGGUUCCAAGCUCGGCUCUCUUCCAGCCCCGGGUCAGGACCAUGUCACCUGGGGACAGCCACCCUUGGGUGCCCAGGUCUCGGGAGCUGAGGGGCUCUUGGCUCUCCUCUCGUGUGAAAUGGACACAACGCCAUUGAAUGCGCGUGGCAGAGGCACUGCUGCUGCGGGCAGCGCAAAGAGCUAGAGCAUCCUGCUCGGAUUCGGAUACAAAUAAGGAAUCUUGUGCUCACAAGAGCCCUCUUCAGCUUUAAAAAUACAAAAUUUGAAUUAAAAAUAUUCAGAGAGUAAAAAACCCACUAUCUGAUAUGCAAGUCAUAUUCUUAAAGUGCAACUGAACAGCAAAUAACAAGUUGUGCCUUUUACAACCAUUUUGAUAUAAAAAGGCCUUUUAACAUUCCCUUUUGUGUAUUUUUAAUCAAUUUGUGUGUGCGAUGUUAGCUCUUCAUUCUCACUGCUGGAAGCCUUCAGCACAACCCAAAGAGUUUAGGGUUAGAAUGUGUGGGUUUUCUGUGCAAUAAGGUAUUAUACCCUCAAGUGAUCUCACUCUUCAGCAUGGCAAAGAUCUGGCCAAUGUCCCCUAGCAUGAAAGGGAAAAGAAACCAUCUGGUGUUUCUUCUUCAGGACUUUUUUCUGUUCUACAGCUCACAUUCAAUGACCUUUUGUUACAAGUUAGAUGUGGUCCAUAUACCCAGUGCACUAUAAAAUGGACUGAGGUCAAUUCUCUGCACAAGACAAUUUACAGUAAACUUUCUAUCUUUCUUCCCUCUUCCUGCACUCCAGCUUCCAGUGGCCCCUCAAAUGCAGACUGUGUAAACUACCAUUGCCAGUUUGAGUCAGGCAGCAGGCCCUGCACCAGCAAACGGGAGGGAAUUGUGUUUGUUGGACAUCCUGUUGGUAAAGCCAACACUCCUGGAUGCUGGUAUGGCAAGUAUCACUUGCUAAACACACACAGUUAUCAAGUAGCACUGCAGCUGCCUGUCUGCUUGGUUUCAUGAGUGUCUGGAUUUAAUUUGUAAUGCCUUAGCAUAAAACACUAGGUGGAAUAAAGGGAGAACACUAUGGGUGGAAAACACGUGUUUCCACAAUUAGCAGCCAGCACUGCUCAGAGUCCCCAUGGACACUCCUGCCCAUUCUCCCUCCACCUGGAGCAUUCUCCCAAGCCAGAGGUGGAUUCAAAUCAUAGACCUUGGCUUGCAGGAAAGACCCCUCUGAAGGAGGUAGAGAGCCAACAGCAAGAAACCAUGCAAACUUCUGUGCUGGGGCAAAAGACUGAAGGAUGUUCAGCCCUGCUGGGGUGCCUCGCACCGGCAGUGUCAAUGCAAGCUGGAAGAGUCAGCACGCUGUACAAAUGUGCUUGGGCAUGGGACACGCUCUCA